GAUGAACGCUAGCGGCAGGCCUAACACAUGCAAGUCGAGGGAGGAGCUUUCGGGCUUCGACCGGCGUACGGGUGCGUAACGCGUAUACAAUCUGCCAUUCACAUAGGGAUAGCCCGAAGAAAUUUGGAUUAAUACCUAAUGGUAUAUAGGAGUGGCAUCACAUUUAUAUUAAAGCUGAGGCGGUGAAAGAUGAGUAUGCGUUCUAUUAGCUAGUUGGAGAGGUAACGGCUCCCCAAGGCGACGAUAGAUAGGGGUUCUGAGAGGGAUAUCCCCCACACUGGUACUGAGAUACGGACCAGACUCCUACGGGAGGCAGCAGUGAGGAAUAUUGGACAAUGGUCGGAAGACUGAUCCAGCCAUGCCGCGUGCAGGAAGACGGCCUUAUGGGUUGUAAACUGCUUUUGCAGGGGAAGAAUAAGGACUACGAGUAGUUUGAUGACGGUACUCUGCGAAUAAGCAUCGGCUAACUCCGUG
rnacentral:rRNA from 1 species